AACCAUGGCUGUGUUUCUGCAGCUGCUACCGCUGCUGCUCUCGAGGGCCCAAGGGAACCCUGGGGCUUCUCUGGACGGCCGCCCUGGGGACCGGGUGAAUCUCUCCUGCGUAGGAGUCUCUCAUCCCAUCCGCUGGGUCUGGGCGCCCAGCUUCCCGGCCUGCAAGGGCCUGUCCAAAGGACGCCGACCGAUCCUGUGGGCCUCUUCGAGCGGGACCCCCACCGUGCCUCCCCUCCAGCCUUUCUUCGGCCGCCUACGCUCCCUGGACUCUGGUAUCCGGCGGCUGGAGCUCCUCUUGAGCGCGGGGGACUCGGGCACUUUUUUCUGCAAGGGCCGCCACGAGGACGAGAGCCGUACAGUGCUUCACGUGCUGGGGGACAGGACCUAUUGCAAGGCCCCCGGGCCUACCCAUGGGUCCGUGUAUCCCCAGCUCCUGAUCCCGCUGCUGGGCGCUGGGUUGGUGCUCGGACUGGGAGCUUUGGGCCUGGUCUGGUGGCUGCACAGGUGAGCAGGAGGGACCCGGCCUCGUUAAAUGGGGAGUGACCAGA
rnacentral:sRNA from 1 species